rnacentral:rRNA from 1 species
GACAGAGGUGCCGAGCGUUAGGCGGAAUCACUGGGCUUAAAGCGUGCGUAGGUGGCUGCCUAAGUACCUUGUGAAAUCCCACGGCUUAACCGUGGAGCUGCUUGGUAUACUGGGUGUCUUGAGCCAGCUAGGGGCUACCGGAACAAAUGGUGGAGCGGUGAAAUGCGUAGAUAUCAUGUGGAACGCCAAUGGUGAAAACAGGUAGCUGGGGCGGUGCUGACACUGAGGCACGAAGGCGUGGGGAGCGAACGGG